rnacentral:misc_RNA from 1 species
UGUGGGAGCGAGCCUGCUCGCGAUGACCGCGGCACAUUCAGCAUUGCCGUUUCAGGCAGACCGCUAUCGCGAGCAGGCUCGUUCCCACA